AAAAUAGAGUCGUGCUGUGCUGUGCUUGACUCAAAGAAGAAGAGCUGAUGAACGUGGAGAAAAAUUCCUCAGAAAUCCAAAUCGAGAGUAACCACCCAGGAACACCCAGUGUAAAGACUGGUCACACCCAAAAACCCUGCUUUCUCAUUCCGCACCACACCUGCUACCCUGUAACUGAAGGAGAGGUUAUACACCAUCCACCAAUAGAGAAAGCACCAGCUAGCCCAAGGCUUAUAAUUCAUGGUCACCAACUCUUGAAGCAGAGCUGUUCUCAACCGCGUCUGUUCUUCUUGCGGGAAACCAUGCCGAUCCAAAAUCAGCACCAAUGAAGAAAGCAUUUACAUUUGAUGGGUUUGAUGUCAAUGUAAGAAAACAAUCAGAGUUAGGCAGUCAUCCAAUUGCUUCAGAUUUAACCGUCUCUCACCUCUCUGACGUAUAAGCAAUCACUGAAACAAAGAAGCAAAGAUAACUUUCAGGAGAGCUUGGGUACGAAAUACAAAUACGAGAAGCGGUCGUUUGCCCAAAUUGUCUAACCAUUCGUCGCUUUAAAGGAUUCUCUUCCAACGAUCUAUCCAUUGCUAGCAACAAGCAGCUCAAAGAAGAACAAUGAAAACAUUGAACAGAGAAAAUCAUUUUGCUUGCUCCUUUGUAUUUGAUUAUUAUUGUACAAACCAAAACAAUGAAGACUACAACCUCGACAUGCUCAAGGUUGAACUUUGCAAUAUAUGUAUUAUAUUUUGUAAUUAAUUAAUCAUUUGUAUUAAUAACCAAUCUUUUGUAUUAAU